rnacentral:rRNA from 1 species
GAUGAACGCUGGCGGCGUGCCUAAUACAUGCAAGUCGAGCGAACAGACGAGGAGCUUUCUCCUCUGACGUUAGCGGCGGACGGGGGAGUAAAACGUGGAUAACCCACCUAUAAGACUGGGAUAACUUCGGGAAACCGGAGCUAAUACAGGAUAAUAUAUUGAACCUCAUGGUUCAAUAGUGAAAGACGGUUUUGCUGUCACAUAUAGAUGGAUCCGCGCCGCAUUAGCUAGUUGGUAAGGUAACGGCCUACCAAGGCGACGAUGCGUAGCCGACCUGAGAGGGUGAUCGGCCACACUGGAACUGAGACACGGUCCAGACUCCUACGGGAGGCAGCAGUAGGGAAUCUUCCGCAAUGGGCGAAAGCUUGACGGAGCAACGCCGCGUGAGUGAUGAAGGUCUUCGGAUCGUAAAACUCUGUUAUUAGGGAAGAACAAAUGUGUAAGUAACUAUGCACGUCUUGACGGUACCUAAUCAGAAAGCCACGGCUAACUACGUG